CGGGGUAUAGCGCAGUCUGGUAGCGCGAACGCCUGGGGGGCGUUAGGUCUUCGGUUCGAAUCCGGAUACCCCGACCA
rnacentral:tRNA from 1 species